CCCUUAGACGUUCUGGGCCGCACGCGCGCUACACUGACGGAGCCAGCGAGUAUAAACCUUGGCCGAGAGGUCUGGGAAAUCUUGUGAAACUCCGUCGUGCUGGGGAUAGAGCAUUGUAAUUAUUGCUCUUCAACGAGGAAUUCCUAGUAAGCGCAAGUCAUCAGCUUGCGUUGAUUACGUCCCUGCCCUUUGUACACACCGCCCGUCGCUACUACCGAUUGAAUGGCUUAGUGAGGCUUCCGGAUUGGUUUAGAGAAGGGGGCAACUCCAUCUUGGAACCGAGAAGCUAGUCAAACUUGGUCAUUUAGAGGGAGUAAAAGUCGUAACA
rnacentral:rRNA from 1 species